CUGAUCUUUGUGUGCCUGAGUUACUGAAAGCAGUGUUUUUCUUGACAUCUUGAGCUGCGCCUCACAGAUGACUAUAGACUCUUUCCUUCCUGGCUCUGUCUGAAAUGCAGAGGACUUCAUUUGUUACAUGUUUACUGAGAGUGCGAAAUUAGACCUUUGCAAUUAGGCACUCAUGAUAGCUGUCUAGCUGAAGCAAAAACAAAGCCAUUUUCUAUCUGUGUUAUGGUUUUUAAACAGUGAUUGUACCUUGGAUUUGGAAAAAUCAUAUUGGCUAAUGAGUCAGCUGGUCAAGUAUUUAUUGAGCCUUGUCCGAGGUACACAGGUUUUGCAGCCCGCCCAGGAGGUGUACAGUUUACUUUUUGAGAUGUGUUUGUAGUUUAGGAUGGCCUAAUUUAACCUCUGUGAGAAAGGAUUAUUGUGGCUGAGGUGGAGGAGGGCGAAGGCAGGAGGAAGCGAACGGCUGAGGCAGGGUGGCCUAGUGUUCUGUGCCAGGCCAGACAGGGAGGAGGGCCGGUAGCCCAGGAGGUGAAGGAAUUUCCUGACAGGAGAGCAGCGGGCGACUCCGAGAGAUGGGGGUCUCACAAUGUAGCCCAGGCUGUUCUUGAACAAAUGGCGGUCUUCCCGCCUCAGCCUCCCAAGAAGCUGGACCUACAGGCAUGUGUCAGCACUCCUGGAUUUGCAGUGAUUCUUGUUGAUGUUUGCCAACCACCAAGGUCAAAGACUAUAUUGUUGGAUACAGUGUCCUGUGUCGCCGUCGUAGGAAACACUCCACAGCUCCAGCAGCAGCUCACAGCUUGCCAUUCUGGUCACAGUUCCACGCUUGUUUCGGGCCGCUUUUACCUGCUUCUUCCGCGGUGAACGACACCAAGCGGAGGUGAGAAUGGUACACACGUGAAGGUCUGGCCCAUCAGUGAGACAGACUUGGAUUCACCUGAAAGGAUCCAAUGGAAUAGCAUUAGAAGCUUGGAAUCUGUUUUUCUCAAAGCACAGUAGAAAAAGUAGAAAUAGAGUUUCCUUAUUUACUCGUUUGAAACAGAAAAGAGUCCUAGGUUGAGAAAAUGUAAAUGGAGGCCUAGGGUUUUUUUGUUUGUUUGUUUUUGUUUCUUUUUUUUGAGACAGGGUCUCCCAAUGUAGUUCAGGCUGGCCUUGAACUCACUAUACAGCCCAGGCUGGCCUUCAAUUCGUGGUAAUCCUCCUGCCUCUGCUUCCUGAGUGUCGGGAUUGCAGGUGUGCGCCACAACGCCUGCCUUGACCGAGGAUUUUGACAUGUCGAUCUUCAAGACAUUUUGUUUGCAGUAUGUGGGGGAUCCAUUUGAUGAUAACUCAUCAACUAAGCUAGAGCUGUGUGUCAUUCAUUACUUUAUAAUUUACCAAAGUAAAAAAAAUGUAGACUCCAUUUGUCUGUAUGAAGAAACAGUGGAACAGGGAGACAUGGCUGAAGGCCUGGGGAAUGUUGAGUGUGUGCAUGAGAAGGGGUCGAUCACCCCUUUGGGCUCUCUGAACAGCACCAUGCGGGAGGCAGCAGAAAGGGAGCCAGGGAGAAAGCGGUUGAUCCUUUUCUAAGAAAGAUUUGUAUUACUGAAGGCACUAGCUGUGUUCAGUGUCAGAAAUACCGGAAGAAACGCUAGUCACCAGGGCACAAGGAACCAAAAUUGCAUUGGAUGGGCUCAAAGGUCAUGUAUUUGAAGUGAGCCUUGCUGAUCUGCAGAGUAAUGAAGUUGCAUUUAGAAAAUUCGAGCUGAUCACUGAAGAUGUUUGGGGCAAAACCCGCCUGCCUAACUGAAAUGAAAAAACAAAAGACAAAGCAGGGACUAACAGUCUCAAAGCUUGGCAGAGACUGACGGUCUCAAGGCGCCCCUCCUGCUAAACCCACGAAGGCCACUGUGCCCGAAAGAUGAACUGGCGAAACAACAGCUGCCUGUACGGCCCUGUGUCUUAAAGAUAAUCUGUAAAAGCAACAUCUGCCUGCACCUCCCUAGCCCUGCGCUAAGUUCUGCUUCUGUAAAAUUCUGCUUGCUUCCCCACCCCGCCUAAAGAGCAAGAUCGAAAUGAAAACAAACUUAGAAUCGGGGCUCAGGCUCUGGAAGGCGACUUCCACUGAGCCCGCCAGUGAAUAAACCUGCC
ensembl:lncRNA